GAUGAAGAACGUAGCGAAAUGCGAUAAGUAAUGUGAAUUGCAGAAUUCAGUGAAUCAUCGAAUGUUUGAACGCACAUUGCGGCCUCUGGUAUUCCGGGGGGCAUGCCUGUUCGAGCGUCAUUACAACCCUCAAGCUUUGCUUGGUAUUGGACAUUGCCAGUUUCUGGCAGGUCUUAAAAUCAGUGGCGGUGCCAUUUGGCUUCAAGCGUAGUAAUUCUUCUCGCUUUGGAGAUCCAAGUGGUUACUUGCCAAUAACCCCCAAUUUUUUCAGGUUGACCUCGGAUCAGGUAGGGAUACCCGCUGAACUUAAGCAUAUCAAUAAGCGGAGGA
rnacentral:misc_RNA from 1 species